rnacentral:SRP_RNA from 1 species
GCUGGAUGUGGUGGCGCGUGCCUGUAGUUCCAGCUACUUGGGAGGCUGAGGCAGGAGGAUUGCUUGAGCCCAGGAGUUCUGGGAUGUAGUGUGCUAUGCUGAUCGGGUUUCUGCACUAAGUUGGGCAUCAGUAUGGUGACCUCCCAGGAGCAGGGGACCACUAGGUUGCCUAAGGAGGGAUGAAUCGGCCCAGGUCACAAAGCAGAUCAAAACUCCUGUGCUGAUCAGUAGUAAGAUCAAGCCUAUGAAUAGUCACUGAACUUCUGGCCUUGGCAACAUAGCAAGAUCCCAUCUCUA